CUUCCAGUAGCACCUUAGAGACCAACUAAGUUUGUUAUUGGUAUGAACUUGUGCAUGCACAUGAAAGCUCAUACCAACGACAAACUUAGUUGGUCUCUAAGGUGCUACUGGAAG